AAUUCUGGUGGCCUAGUGGUUAGAGCAUCUGCCUCAGAUGUGGGAGGUCACUGGUUUGAACCCUAUCUGGGUCA